rnacentral:rRNA from 1 species
UACCAGCACCCCGAGUGGUCGGGACGUUUAUUGGGCCUAAAGCAUCCGUAGCCGGUUCUACAAGUCUUCCGUUAAAUCCACCUGCUCAACAGAUGGGCUGCGGAAGAUACUAUGGAGCUAGGAGGCGGGAGAGGCAAGCGGUACUCGAUGGGUAGGGGUAAAAUCCGUUGAUCCAUUGAAGACCACCAGUGGCGAAGGCGGCUUGCCAGAACGCGCGCGACGGUGAGGGAUGAAAGCUGGGGGAGCAAACCGG